GGGAGACGGGCGGCGGCGUUGCCGGCGGCGCUUCGCACGCCGGGCCCUGGGGCGGGGUGCAAUGGCUGGGCGUGCAUGCCUCGCUCGGCGCCCGCC
rnacentral:tRNA from 1 species